UCCCUGGGGCCCCACUCUGUGGUCCUCAGAGACCUGUUCCACAGGGAUUGAGCCCACCAUGUCACUUGCAGGGACUGCCCCCUGGAGUGGUGGGGACUGGGGCCCCCAUGGGGACCUCCCUGGCCCUGUCUGUUCUAUCUGUUGACUCUUCUGCAAAAAGCAGGCAGAGAGGGGAAGAGCAGGCUGGCCAGCUGUGCCCUACUGUGUCCCCACGUGUCCCUUCAUCUCUGUGCCCAGAGAUAGGGCUGGGCUAAUUGUCACUGCCUCAGGUUGGCCCCUUUCCCACCACCAGCCCCAGCUACAGGUUCCUACCACGCUGAUCUAUGGUCCAGCACCUGGCACCUGCCUACCCACAGCCCCUUCCCCUCCCAUAAAAUCUAGUCCCAUGGAGCCAGACAGUAGUGCCCACAGCAGGGAACAGAUGGGCAUGAAGGUGCUUUGAAGAGGGUCCUGGCCUGACCAGGGGCGGGAGGCUGGGGAAGGGGCGGACACUGUCCCCCCAGGCCCAGGCCCAGCCCUGGAUCCAACCCUGGCCUCUGGCUGUGAGCCUUAGACUCAGCCGUUGACAAUUUCUUCCUCAGCCCUCCCCCUGGAAGGUGUUACGCCCCUUCUCCAGGUGGGGGACACUAAGGUUCAGAGAGCUCGCCCUGCAGCCUACAGGGGUCACCUCUCACAUUCUACUCUCCAGCGUAUGACAACCCUGGACGAAAGGGGCUGAGACCAAGAAACAGUAUCAGAGGCUGAACCCCUCGGCGAUGAGCGUCUGUCCCAGGACUUGGAAGGGAGGGAGGGAGCAUGGCCACGGCAGCUGCCUGCAGUAUUACAGUUCCAAAACAUAACUUGAAGGUCAGCACAGGAGCUGCUGUGAUAUAAAAGGAGAGAGUCACCUGGCGCCCCCUGCAGUCCUCCAGUUGCCCAGCAGCGGUGGGACGCUCAGUGGCACACACUGGGUCUCUGUAUGGCCUCCCACCUGCAA
rnacentral:lncRNA from 1 species